rnacentral:rRNA from 1 species
UACGUAGGAUGCAAGCGUUGUCCGGAAUUAUUGGGCGUAAAGAGCUCGUAGGCGGUUUGUCGCGUCUGCUGUGAAAACUCGAGGCUCAACCUCGAGACGUCGGCGGAAACCAUCUGGCUAGAGUCCGGAAGAGGAGAGUGGAAUUCCUGGUGUAGCGGUGAAAUGCGCAGAUAUCAGGAGGAACACCCGUGGCGAAGGCGGCUCUCUGGGACGGUACUGACGCUGAGACGCGAAAGCGUGGGGAGCGAACAGG